UACGUAGGGUGCAAGCGUUGCCCGGAAUUAUUGGGCGUAAAGAGCUCGUAGGCGGCUUGUCACGUCGACUGUGAAAACCCGGGGCUCAACUCCGGGCCUGCAGUCGAUACGGGCUGGCUUGAGUGCGGUAGGGGAGACUGGAAUUCCUGGUGUAGCGGUGAAAUGCGCAGAUAUCAGGAGGAACACCGGUGGCGAAGGCGGGUCUCUGGGCCGAUACUGACGCUGAGGAGCGAAAGCGUGGGGAGCGAACAGG
rnacentral:rRNA from 1 species